GUAGGUGGCAAGCGUUGUCCGGAAUUAUUGGGCGUAAAGCGCGCGCAGGUGGUCCUUUAAGUCUGAUGUGAAAGCCCCCGGCUCAACCGGGGAGGGUCAUUGGAAACUGGGGAACUUGAGUGCAGGAGAGGAAAGUGGAAUUCCACGUGUAGCGGUGAAAUGCGUAGAUAUGUGGAGGAACACCAGUGGCGAAGGCGACUUUCUGGCCUGUAACUGACACUGAGGCGCGAAAGCGUGGGGAGCAAACAGGAUUAGAUACCCUGGUAGUCCACGCCGUAAGCGAUGAGUGCUAAGUGUUGGGGGGGUUUCCCGCCCCUCAGUGCUGCAGCUAACGCAUUAAGCACUCCGCCUGGGGAUACGGUCGCAAGACUG
rnacentral:rRNA from 1 species